ACUCUUUAAUGCAUUAAUCAUAUGGAAGACAUCAGAAGACUCUUUGACAAACUAAAUAACCCAAAGACCUUAACUAAAAAUUUAAACACAUUUGACUUGAGAACCUCCAAAGACACUUUUAAAUGAAUCCCAGACCUAGUUAAUCUCCCAAGUAGGCCCCACAUCAUCUAGCAUAUGCCAAAUUAAGGCUUGGGCUUUAGAACCGUCGGAUCCACGCCUUUUAUAGACUUUAAUUGGUUGCUGCCAUUUUCCAUCAAACACCCACAUGCACUACUAGAAAAUGAGAUUUUAGACAUGAAACUUUUUGUGACAGUUUGAAAAUCAUCGCAAAAAGUAAACUUUUGCGACGGUAAAAAAUACCGUCACGAAAGUAUUAUUUUGUGACUCCAAUUGACUGUCGCAAAAAUAAAUACUAUUAUUAGGGACAGAAAAUCCAAAACCGUGGCAAAAAAAAUAAUAUUAUACGUGACGGUACAUUACACGUUGUACAUUUUUUUCCCCCUCAUUUUGUGACUUUUUUUUGUGUGAUGCCUUUUGUUAGUCUGUCACAAAAAGUUUUAUUUUUGCUCAUUUGCGACUGUCCUUAAAAUCUUCGCAAAAACUUAAUCCCAAUUUCCAUUUCCUCUCCCCCACCCCACCCCCCUCCUUCCCACUCAUCCCCAAACUUCCAGACUCCUCUUUGGAUAAAAUAAAUAAAAAAAACUUUCUGGCUUCUCUGCCUGCCCUAAUUUCACUCUCUCUCGAGCCCAAUCCCCUCUCGCUGUCUCUCUCUCUCUCUCUCGCGCGCGCGCGCGCGCAGCAACAACAACACCGGCAUCUAGGUAACCCUCCUCUCCUCCCCUCUUCUUUCCUCUCGCUCUCACUCGCACAGACCCUCACAAUCUGUCGCUCACUCUCUCAAACCCUCACAGACUCUCUAGCAGCGGCGACUUCCCACCUCCGGCAUCCAGACUGCACAUUGGAUUUGUAGAGAGAGAGCUGAUUUGGAGAGGAGAAAUUUUGAUCUCAUACGAAGAGAAUGGAAUAGAUAUCAGUAAAAGAGAAUGAGAGAAAGAAAGUGAGGUCACUUGAUUUGUAAGGAGAACGAAGAUCGGGGGGAGAGAGACAGAGAGAGAGAGAGAGGGGGGGAUAGGUUUUCUGCUACACAGACAUAUGCUACAAAUGGUGUUUCAGAAUAUGAAGGCAGUGGGUUGAAUCUGGACAACACAGGUACAGGAGUGUAAUAGUUUAAUUCAGUGACACAUGAAGCCGAGCCAGUGCUGGAUUAUGGAGUUGCCUCUGGUCAUA